GGUCAAGUAAUGAAGUGCACAUGGUGGAUGCCUUGGCAGUCAGAGGCGAUGAAAGACGUGAUAGCCUGCGAUAAGCGUCGGUGAGGUGGCAAUAUCCUGUGACCCGGCGAUUUCUGAAUGGGGAAACCCAGCCAACAUAAGUUGGCUAUCCUAACCUUUGGUUAGGAGGCAAACCGGGAGAAGUGAAACAUCUCAGUACCCCGAGGAAAAGACAUCAAUAGAGAUUCCCCAAGUAGCGGCGAGCGAACGGGGAGGAGCCGAUCAAACUUGUAGUAGCAAAAUGGCGUGGGAAAGCCAACCAUAGUAGGUGAUAGUCCUGUAUGCGAAACUGCAAAUGCGACAUAUUAAGUAGGGCGAGACACGUGAAAUCUUGUCUGAAGAUGGGGGGACCAUCCUCCAAGGCUAAAUACUCCUGACUGACCGAUAGUGAACCAGUACCGUGAGGGAAAGGCGAAAAGAACCCCUGUUAGGGGAGUGAAAUAGAACCUGAAACCGUGUGCAUACAAGCAGUCGGAGCCCACUUGUUGGGUGACGGCGUACCUUUUGUAUAAUGGGUCAGCGACUUAUAUUCUGUAGCAAGGUUAACCGUUUAGGGGAGCCGUAGGGAAACCGAGUCUUAAUAGGGCGAUUAAGUUGCAGGGUAUAGACCCGAAACCGAGUGAUCUAUCCAUGAGCAGGUUGAAAGUGCCGUAACAGGCACCGGAGGACCGAACCCACUGUCGUUGAAAAGCCAGGGGAUGACUUGUGGAUAGGGGUGAAAGGCUAAUCAAACUCGGUGAUAGCUGGUUCUCCCCGAAAGCUAUUUAGGUAGCGCCUCGGACGAAUACCAUUGGGGGUAGAGCACUGUUUCGGCUAGGGGGUCAUCCCGACUUACCAAACCGAUGCAAACUCCGAAUACCGAUGAGUGAUAUCCGGGAGACAGACGGCGGGUGCUAACGUCCGUCGUCAAGAGGGAAACAACCCAGACCGCCAGCUAAGGCCCCAAAUUCCUAGUUAAGUGGGAAACGAUGUGGGAAGGCACAGACAGCUAGGAGGUUGGCUUAGAAGCAGCCACCCUUUAAAGAAAGCGUAAUAGCUCACUAGUCGAGUCGGCCUGCGCGGAAGAUGUAACGGGGCUCAAACUAGGAGCCGAAGCUGCGGAUUUAAUUGUUUCAAUUAAGUGGUAGGGGAGCGUUGUGUAAGCCUGUGAAGGUGUGUUGUAAAGCAUGCUGGAGGUAUCACAAGAGCGAAUGCUGACGUGAGUAACGACAAAACGGGUGAAAAGCCCGUUCGCCGGAAGACCAAGGGUUCCAGUCCAACGUUAAUCGGGGCUGGGUGAGUCGACCCCUAAGGCGAGGCCGAAAGGCGUAGUCGAUGGGAAAUCGGUUAAUAUUCCGAUACUUGUUUAUGAUGCGAUGGAGGGACGGAGAAGGUUAUGUCAGCCUGGCGUUGGUUGUCCAGGUGAAAGGAUGUAGGUAGGUUUAGUAGGCAAAUCCGCUAGACUAUUACUGAGAUCUGAUAGCAAGCCAGUUUACUGGCAAAGUGGCAAAUACCCUGCUUCCAGGAAAAGCUUCUAAGCGAUAGUCAUAAACAAAUCGUACCCGAAACCGACACAGGUGGUCAGGUAGAGAAUACCAAGGCGCUUGAGAGAACUCUGCUGAAGGAACUAGGCAAAAUGGUACCGUAACUUCGGGAGAAGGUACGCUGCCGAUGGUGAUAAGACUUGCUCUUUGAGCUGUUGGCAGUCGCAGAUACCAGGCUGCUGCAACUGUUUAUUAAAAACACAGCACUCUGCAAACACGAAAGUGGACGUAUAGGGUGUGAUGCCUGCCCGGUGCUGGAAGGUUAAUUGAUGGGGUUAGCGUAUGCGAAGCUCUUGAUCGAAGCCCCAGUAAACGGCGGCCGUAACUAUAACGGUCCUAAGGUAGCGAAAUUCCUUGUCGGGUAAGUUCCGACCUGCACGAAUGGCAUAAUGAUGGCAGCGCUGUCUCCAGCAGAGACUCAGUGAAAUCGAAAUCGCAGUGAAGAUGCUGUGUACCCGCGGCUAGACGGAAAGACCCCGUGAACCUUUACUACAGCUUUACAUUGAACUUUGACCUAACUUGUGUAGGAUAGGUGGGAGGCUUUGAAGUGGCGACGCCAGUUGCCAUGGAGCCAUCCUUGAAAUACCACCCUGGUUAUGUUGGGGUUCUAACUUAGAUGUAACAACAUCAAGGACAAUGUAUGGUGGGUAGUUUGACUGGGGCGGUCUCCUCCUAAAGAGUAACGGAGGAGUACGAAGGUGCGCUCAGAACGGUCGGAAAUCGUUCAAAGAGUAUAAAGGCAAAAGCGCGCUUAACUGCGAGACCCACAAGUCGAGCAGGUACGAAAGUAGGUCUUAGUGAUCCGGUGGUUCUGUAUGGAAGGGCCAUCGCUCAACGGAUAAAAGGUACUCUGGGGAUAACAGGCUGAUACCGCCCAAGAGUUCAUAUCGACGGCGGUGUUUGGCACCUCGAUGUCGGCUCAUCUCAUCCUGGGGCUGAAGCAGGUCCCAAGGGUAUGGCUGUUCGCCAUUUAAAGAGGUACGCGAGCUGGGUUUAGAACGUCGUGAGACAGUUCGGUCCCUAUCUACCGUGGGCGUUGGAAAUUUGAGAGGAUCUGCUCCUAGUACGAGAGGACCAGAGUGGACGAACCUCUGGUGUUCCGGUUGUUUCGCCAGAAGCACUGCCGGGUAGCUAUGUUCGGAUGGGAUAACCGCUGAAAGCAUCUAAGCGGGAAGCCCACCUCAAGAUUAGAUUUCCCUAAAGAGCCGUUGUAGACUACGACGUUGAUAGGUUGGGUGUGGAAGCAUGGCGACAUGUGUAGCUAACCAAUACUAAUUGCUCGUUUGGCUUGACCAU
rnacentral:rRNA from 1 species